UACGUAGGUGACAAGCGUUGUCCGGAUUUACUGGGCGUAAAGAGCGCGCAGGCGGUCGAUCAAGUCGAGUGUGAAAGCCCCCGGCUCAACUGGGGAGGGUCAUUCGAUACUGAUCGACUCGAAGGCAGGAGAGGGUAGUGGAAUUCCCGGUGUAGUGGUGAAAUGCGUAGAUAUCGGGAGGAACACCGGUGGCGAAGGCGGCAUCCUGGGACCG
rnacentral:rRNA from 1 species